CUCCAAAAAUAAGCCGACUCGUAGGGGCAGCCAAGCCAAGCAUUCCCCUAGGGUUUAGCCCAAAACCCUCAAAUUUCAUUUCAACAGUAAAUCUUUCUCCAUUUGCAUACAUUCUGAACAAUUCUCCUUUUCCAUGGCCAUCGCCGCCGCUAGAUCCAUUUUCCGGUCACCUUCCAUGCGCAAUGCCGCAUCAAGGAUCGCAUCGGAGGCUAAAGCUGCUCGAUCUCCCUUUCGCACGCCUUCUAGAAGUCCUCUUUCUCAUCGCAUCUUCAGGUGUCCUUCUGAGAUGAGCGUUUGUUUGGAGUCGCUGCAACCAUACCACACCGUCACUGCUUCGGCUUUGAUGACUUCUAUGCUUACUGACUCUCUCCGUAGUUACAGUUGGCUUUCAGAAGGUAUCUAGCAAGACCUAUAGGACCCUCAUUUGAUGUCCUUCCCUCAUUUACUACUUUGCCCAAAAUGAAGACGUGUGAUGAUUUUUGGAGAGCAGGAGCAAUAAUUACAAGUGUGUACUUUUCACAAUGGCGCGCUAAGUAAAGAGGGUUAUAAUGAGCAGCUCCUGGAUUAUCUAAAUUUUUAAACUUAGAAGUGCUAGAUCUCAUCUUUUUCGAAAUACAAACAUCCUUCUCUUGGAAGUUGGAGCUCAACACUUAUGUAGCCAGUUACUUGAUACGGAACUACUACGUUUGCUUAUUUCUGACUUGUGUGCCUCUCUUUAUAUGUUUUUUAUUAACGGUUUACCUUUCUG